rnacentral:rRNA from 1 species
UACGAAGGGGGCUAGCGUUGCUCGGAAUCACUGGGCGUAAAGCGCACGUAGGCGGAUUGCUAAGUCAGGGGUGAAAUCCUGGAGCUCAACUCCAGAACUGCCUUUGAUACUGGCGAUCUUGAGUCCGGAAGAGGUGAGUGGAACUCCUAGUGUAGAGGUGGAAUUCGUAGAUAUUAGGAAGAACACCAGUGGCGAAGGCGGCUCACUGGUCCGGUACUGACGCUGAGGUGCGAAAGCGUGGGGAGCAAACAGG